UCCCUCAUAGCUCAGUUGGUAAGGAAUCUGCCUACAAUGCAGGAGACCCCGGUUCGAUUCCUGGAUAGGGAA
rnacentral:tRNA from 1 species